rnacentral:tRNA from 1 species
GGUAGGGUAGCCGAGUGCCAGGCAGCGGGUUGUAGCCCCGAAGACAGAGGUUAAAAUCCUCUCCUUAUCA